UCCUGUAAUGUGCACAUCACUUCACACGUUCCCUUUUACAGGAAAUGACACCGAAAGUAAACAUCCAGGAACAACGGCAGCACCCGAAAACCUGAAAAGAUGCCUGCCUUACAGAUAAGUGGAAUGAAGAUAGCCAUAGCUGGGGUUGUGAUCGAAGCUGGAAAUCUCUUUGCUUCAGUUGACGUCCUACACGCAGUUACAUUAAUGCUAGUCGUUGUUGGAGUUCUAAUGAUUGUAUAUGAGAAAUAUAAAACUCCGUCACCACCUCACCCAGCUAAUGGGUACAAGAAGGAGAGGUGACCAGAGAAGCAGUCAUCGGACAACACAGACAACACAGUCAACAGAGAAUAUAUAUAUUCAGAUUAAUCAAUUCAUCAUCAAUUAUGAACUCCAUCGAUUAGGAAAAUGACAAUCACUUUGUUUUACAGAAAUGCACAUGAUCUUUUUAUUUGUUUUCCAGCUGAAUCAGAAUGUAAUUUAAUUCACGGUUCAUUUUUUACAUUUAGAAAAUUGAUGAUGUUUCCAAAAUUGUGUUAAAUAAUAGUAAUCUCAAUAUUGACCAAAAUAAUCUUGAUUAUGGUUUUUGCCUUUAUAGAGGGGGAACAUUACUGUCUCAUUCAUAAAGUCAUAAUAAAGACACUCACCUUUCAA